rnacentral:rRNA from 1 species
AUACGGAGGGUGCAAGCGUUACUCGGAAUCACUGGGCGUAAAGCGCGCGCAGGCGGUCUUUUAAGUUGGAUGUGAAAGCCUACGGCUCAACCGUAGAACUGCAUCCAAAACUAUUAGACUAGAGUGUGGGAGAGGAAGAUGGAAUUAGUUGUAUAGGGGUAAAAUCCGUAGAGAUAACUAGGAAUACCAAAAGCGAAGGCAAUCUUCUGGAACACUACUGACGCUGAGGCGCGAAAGCGUGGGGAGCAAACAGGAUUAGAAACCCUAGUAGUCC